rnacentral:rRNA from 1 species
AACGAACGCUGGCGGCAUGCCUAACACAUGCAAGUCGAACGAGACCUUCGGGUCUAGUGGCGCACGGGUGCGUAACGCGUGGGAACCUGCCCUUAGGUUCGGAAUAACUCCCCGAAAGGGGUGCUAAUACCGGAUAAUGUCUUCGGACCAAAGAUUUAUCGCCUUUGGAUGGGCCCGCGUUGGAUUAGCUGGUUGGUAGGGUAACAGCCUACCAAGGCGACGAUCCAUAGCUGGUCGGAGAGGAUGAUCCGCCACACUGGGACUAAGACCCGGCCUAGACUCCUACGCAAGGCAGGAGUGGGGAAUAGAGGAAGAUGGGGGAAGGGCUGAUCCAGCAAUGCCGGGUGAGUGAUGAAGGCCUUAGGGUUGUACAGUUGUUUUACCCGGGAUGAUAAUGACAGUACCGGGAGAAUAAGCGCCGGCUAACUACGUG